rnacentral:rRNA from 1 species
UACAGAGGUGGCAAGCGUUGUUCGGAAUUACUGGGCGUAAAGGGCGCGUAGGCGGUUCGUUAAGUCCUGUGUGAAAUCCCCCGGCUCAACUGGGGAACUGCACAGGAAACUAGCGGGCUUGAGUUCGGGAGAGGGAAGCGGAAUUCCUGGUGUAGCGGGUGAAAUGCGCAGAGUAUCAGGAAGAACACCCGUGGCUAAGGCGGCUCUCUAGUACGGUACUGACGCUGAGACGCGAAAGCGUGGGGAGCGAACAGG